rnacentral:tRNA from 1 species
GAGGGUACAGCUCAGUGGAAGAGCACGUGCUUAGCAUGCAUGGGGCUCUGGGUUCAAUCCCCAGUACCUCCA